rnacentral:rRNA from 1 species
CCUACGGGUGGCAGCAGUGAGGAAUAUUGGUCAAUGGGCGCGAGCCUGAACCAGCAAAGUCGCGUGAAGGAUGACUGCCCUACGGGUUGUAAACUUCUUUUAUAGAGGAAUAAAGUGAGGCACGUGUGCCUUUUUGUAUGUACUUUAUGAAUAAGGAUCGACUAACUCCGUGCCAGAAGCCGCGGUAAUACGGAGGAUGCGAGCGUUAUCCGGACUUAUUGGGUUUAAAGGGAGCGUAGAUGGGUUGUUAAGUCAGUUGUGAAAGUUUGAGGCUCAACCGUAAAAUUGCAAUUGAUACUGUCAGUCUUGAGUGCAGUUGAGGUAGGCGGAAUUCGUGGUGUAGCGGUGAAAUGCGUAGAUAUCACGAAGAACUCCAAUGGCGAAGGCAGCUUACUAAACUGCCACUGACAUUGAGGCUCGAAAGCGUGGGUAUCAAACAGGAUUAGAUACCCUAGUAGUC